AACGUAGGAGGCGAGCGUUAUCCGGAUUUACUGGGCGUAAAGCGUGCGCAGGCGGUUUUGUAAGCCAGGUGUGAAAUCCCCGGGCUCAACCUGGGAAUGGCAUUUGGGACUGCAAGGCUGGAGUGCGGCAGAGGAGACUGGAAUUCCUGGUGUAGCAGUGAAAUGCGUAGAUAUCAGGAGGAAUACCGAUGGCGAAGGCAGGUCUCUGGGCUGACACUGACGCUCAUGCACGAAAGCGUGGGGAGCAAACAGG
rnacentral:rRNA from 1 species